UCGUGGCAGGAAGCCAAAGAAUUAGCUAGGGACCGAAAAAAGUGGCGUAAGUUCGCAGAGAAUAACAAGUAAAGAAGACACCUUACGGUAUAAGAGGAUAAUCGAUUAUGUAUGUAUGUAUAUUUUCGUAUUGAUCGUUGCAUCGUCACUUGUAAAUGACACAGCUUAGUGCUAUUACCGACAUAAAAUGUACUCUCUUCCCUACCUUGCAUAACAAUGUUUUUGUUCUUCCUAAUGAUCAUUUUCCUUAAAACUGCUGUGUUCUUCGAAAUUAGACAUUAGGCAUCCAUAUAUCACUCAGAACACUAAAAGGUCACGUUUGGUCGCUUCAGUUUGAUAUGUGCCCAA
rnacentral:lncRNA from 1 species